AAUCUGAGCUGUUGUCACCAGUUACAGGCUAUGGCAGAUGGCUUGCGGUGUGUAGAGGAGGACAAUGGACAAGGAAU
ensembl:miRNA MIR9831 microRNA mir-9831